UACGGGGGAUGCAAGCGUUAUCCGGAAUUAUUGGGCGUAAAGCGCCUGUAGGUUGUUUAAUAAGUCUGUUGUUAAAGACUAGGGCUUAACCCUAGAAAAGCAAUGGAAACUAGUAGACUAGAGUAUGGCAGGGGUAGAGGGAAUUUCUAGUGUAGCGGUGAAAUGCGUAGAUAUUAGAAAGAACACCAGUGGCGAAAGCGCUCUACUGGACCAUCACUGACACUCAGAGGCGAAAGCUAGGGUAGCAAAAGGGAUUAGAUACCCCUGUAGUCCUAGCCGUAAACGAUGGAUACUAGAUGUUGUGCGUUAUGUACAGUGUCGUAGCUAACGCGUUAAGUAUCCCGCCUGGGGAGUACGCUCGCAAGGGUG
rnacentral:rRNA from 1 species